UAAACAAAGUUUCAAGUUUUCACGCGUGUGUUUUGAAAAAGUGAUACGUUAUUUUAAUUUAGAAUAAAUGAUUAGUUUUUAUUUCUAUUCAUAAAUCAAAUUGUUUAUGGUUAGAUGUCAGGGCGUAAAAGCAAGAGAAGACAAUUUCUCAAGAGUCUGAUGUAUGCAGAAGGAACCUUCAUCGCCCCCCAUUGAUUGUGAUUUAUCCACUCAGAACUCCAACAUGCAGCCGUAGCCUGCCAUACUGAAAAUGCAACUUUGACAGAAGAAGUGAAUACUUUGCUGCUCGACAAAGCCACCCUACAGGACCAAGUAAAGAAGUAAGAAGAGAUGAACCAAACUUUGGUGGGCCAAAAGAUUGAAUCGGUUCAGCAUUAGUAAUCGAUGGAAUGUCUACGCAAAGCAUUUAAGGAGGGAGACGAGUUUAUAGCCAAUGUAGCCAAAUCCUACAAUGAUAUGGGAGAAACACCUUUGCUGGUGGCAAUAAAAAACAGAACUUUCAGAACAGUCAAAUUCUUGGAUGUGCCUCCACUGUUUGCUGCUGUUAUAUCUAAUCAGCUACCUAUAAUAAUCUUAAGUAGCCAAACCACUAGACUGCAAAAAAUUAGCAUAUUGGAGCUGAUAGGUGCAGCCUAUACUUUGUUGGAACCAGGGCUUCGUUUUUGCACGGAUAUUCUUCCUGGAUGCAAGCGUUUCUUUUGCGCCAAUCUACAACUGACGGUGGUUCGAUAAUUCCAAAAAGUCCAUUGCAGCUCUAAAACUGAGGUUGCUACUGGGUGAAAGGGAGAAAUUUUUGUUGCACUCAACUCGUACAUUCGUGGAAUUCAAUGGUAUUUUACGAAGAUCUGCAGACUAGACGGAAGGUUGUCGAUAGGAAGUCGAUGCUUAUUGAUAACUCUAGCACAGAAACACGAUAGGGGACGUAUAGCCUGUAGAAAGCCAUUCAGUAGUGACUGGAACUCGACAUCGGGAUAUACUGCGUGCAUCUCCAAGAAUUUGAUACAUUCCAGAGCAGUUUCACCCUGCUCGUUAAUUUGGUCUUCAUGGUAUCCGGCCUCUAGAAAUGCCUGAACAGUGGUGCUGAAGUGUCGACCGUGAAGUGGGUUCCAUCUUCUAUCAUUCCACGGGAAAAGCGCACACUCUUGUAGGGCCAGUAAUGAAGAGGACUAUUCCGUUUUUCGUCCACGUAGUUGGGAUUUACCCCCAUCUGCAGCAGCAGCUUAAUCAUUUCAAACGUUGAGUCGGGUUUAAUCCGGACGGUACAAGCUUUUAGAAGAAGAAAUAUCAGUGUUGCAGGCCGAAAGGGACCGGUUGGCGUACCUGCUGAGCGUCGUGGAUGUUAAGUAAACCCUUGCACUACAUUUUUACCUUAAAAUCACAUUAAAGUGCAUUAAGUAUGUAUUUUAAGAAAUUUCAUAGGUAUAGUUACUAUAUAUAUAAUAUAAAUAUAAUACAUAUAUUUAUUAUAUAUAGCGCCCCUAGUGACCGAAGGCGAUAAUAAUAUUUUCACUCUCGAAGUGUAUAGGGGGUAAACUUCAAGGGAUAGGAAAGGUUUCCUAAUAAAAUAAUUUUUUAUGAAAACAAGAAAUAACGCUGUUAAAUAAAGAACGCCGGAUUUUUUAAGUGCAAAAAAAAUAUUUUUGCGUAGUUUAAAUUAUUUUUUUAUUUAUGAAAAACGCAGUUUUAACGUUACGCUUAUGGGGGGGGGGAGCUCGUGUACGUAAUCGAUGAACGAGUGUUUAGGAGCUCGGGGGUUACUCCUAGAAAAAAGUCUAGUGUGAGUGAUUUGUAGCUCUAUUGUUCUACUGAUCAGCAAAAAAAAAAUCUAGCUCUAGCCGUCAAAUAGUUAUUUGAGUUAUUUGAGGGACACACGUAGCACCAUUAGAAUUCAUGGAAAUAGAGGGGGUGUUCUUAUACAUUUGGUGGGUACUCUAAAUAUAUUAUAUAUAUAAUUAUAUAUUGUAUGAUAUAUUAUAUAUAGGCCAUAUAUUAUUAUGUAUAUUAUGGGAAAAAAUUAACUAUUAGUUUAACAUUUAUAUAUAUAUAUAUAUAUUUGUUUUCUUUGGUACAUAAAAAACAUAUUAAAUAGAUACUUACAGUAUUUAUUAUAUUCGUAAUAUCUUAAUUACAAUUAUUCUGUAUUCGUAUGAGACUUACCCAAGGUCAUACAAGCCAUGUUAACAGAAGGAAGCAGCUCAAGUUUUCGGAGAAGGUUUGUGUCGAUUUCAACCUCGUAGGCAUUAAUUCGUUCGUCGUGGCUUAUUCAAUUUUUAGCUCGAGCUGAUUUCUGUGUGUUCCCCACUUGUUCCAGGUCUCAAGAAGCAUCUACUGCUUGCAUUUUCGGGUUGGAUCCCGCUGCCUCAAUCAUUUCACCAUGAACUCGUGCUGGAGGUUCCUUAGAUUGUUCUUUGGCUGUGAUCAACACAAACUUCGUCGUUCGAAAGUGAGGUUUUCACAUCUUCUCUACUUUACUGGCAUUUCCAUGAGAGUAUUUACGCCCUAAUCGUCUCCAUCGUAAAUGACGAGAAUUUGGUUUGGGUAGUCGGGAUGCUCGUAUGCAUGUUUUAAAACCCAGUUGUAAAGGAAUCGUUGAGUUUCUUCUCGUGCAAUUCGUAAUUUAAACUAAUAUAUAAUAUUUUUUAUUUUGUUCACAGUAUUUUUUAACUCGCCGCCACGAGUACCCAUCCAUCCUCCAGUCAUAUUUAUAUUUCUUAUGUCUCCACUUAAUGAUGAAUUUUGCUUCUAUUGAUUUAAAAUAUAUGUCAUUCAUAAUACAACAGAAAAGCAAUUUUUUACACAAACA